rnacentral:rRNA from 1 species
AACGAACGCUGGCGGCAUGCCUAACACAUGCAAGUCGAACGAGAUCUUCGGGUCUAGUGGCGCACGGGUGCGUAACGCGUGGGAAUCUGCCCUUUGGUUCGGAAUAACAGUUGGAAACGACUGCUAAUACCGGAUGAUGACGAAAGUCCAAAGAUUUAUCGCCAGAGGAUGAGCCCGCGUAGGGUUAGCUAGUGGGUGUGGUAAAGGCGCACCAAGGCGACGAUCCUUAGCUGGUCUGAGAGGAUGAUCAGCCACACUGGGACGGAGACACGGCCCAGGCUCCUACGGGAGGCAGCAGUGGGGAAUAUUGGACAAGGGGCGAAAGCCUGAUCCAGCAAUGCCGCGUGAGUGAUGAAGGCCUUAGGGUUGUAAAGCUCUUUUACCCGGGAUGAUAAUGACAGUACCGGGAGAAUAAGCUCCGGCUAACUCCGUGCCAGCCGCCGCCGUAA